GAUGAACGCUAGCUACAGGCUUAACACAUGCAAGUCGAGGGGAAACGAUAUUGGAAGCUUGCUUCCGAUAGGCGUCGACCGGCGCACGGGUGAGUAACGCGUAUCCAACCUGCCCAUCACUUGGGGAUAACCUUGCGAAAGUAAGACUAAUACCCAAUGACGUCUCUAGAAGACAUCUGAAAGAGAUUAGAGAUUUAUCGGUGAUGGAUGGGGAUGCGUCUGAUUAGCUUGUUGGCGGGGUAACGGCCCACCAAGGCGACGAUCAGUAGCCGGACUGAGAGGUUGAACGGCCACAUUGGGACUGAGAUACGGCCCAGACUCCUACGGGAGGCAGCAGUGGGGAAUAUUGGGCAAUGGGCGCAAGCCUGACCCAGCAACGCCGCGUGAAGGAAGAAGGCUUUCGGGUUGUAAACUUCUUUUGUCAGGGACGAGUAGAAGACGGUACCUGACGAAUAAGCCACGGCUAACUACGUG
rnacentral:rRNA from 1 species